rnacentral:rRNA from 1 species
AGCGAACGCUGGCGGCAGGCCUAACACAUGCAAGUCGAACGGACCCCUCGGGGUUAGUGGCGGACGGGUGAGUAACACGUGGGAACGUGCCUUUAGGUUCGGAAUAGCUCCUGGAAACGGGUGGUAAUGCCGAAUGUGCCCUUCGGGGGAAAGAUUUAUCGCCUUUAGAGCGGCCCGCGUCUGAUUAGCUAGUUGGGGAGGUAAUGGCUCACCAAGGCGACGAUCAGUAGCUGGUCUGAGAGGAUGACCAGCCACAUUGGGAGUGAGACACGGCCCAAACUCCUACGGGAGGCAGCAGUGGGGAAUCUUGCGCAAUGGGCGAAAGCCUGACGCAGCCAUGCCGCGUGGAUGAUGAAGGUCUUAGGAUUGUAAAAUCCUUUCACCGGUGAAGAUAAUGACUGUAGCCGGAGAAGAAGCCCCGGCUAACUUCGUGCCAGCCGCCGCGGUAAUAC